GACGAACGCUGGCGGCGUGCUUAACACAUGCAAGUCGAACGGAAAGGCCAUGAUUUUGUGGGGUGCUCGAGUGGCGAACGGGUGAGUAAAACGUGAGUAACCUGCCCUUGACUUUGGGAGAACUUCAGGAAACUGGGGCUAAUACAGGAUAGGAGAUCCUGAUGCAUGGGGGGGGUUGGAAAGUUUCGGUGUUGGGGGCUGGAAUGGCAGCUUAUCCGCUUGAUGGGGGGGUAGUGGCUUACCAGGGCUUUGACGGGUAGCCGGCCUGAGAGCGUGACCGGGCACAAUGGGACUGAGAUACGGCCCAGACUCCUAUGGGAGGCAGCAGUGGGGAAUAUUGCACAAUGGGCGGAAGCCUGAGGCAGCAACGCCGCGUGCGUGAUGACGGCCUUCGGGUUGUAAACCGCUUUCGCCUGUGACGAAGCGUGAGUGACGGUAAUGGGUAAAGAAGCACCGGCUAACUACGUG
rnacentral:rRNA from 1 species